ACGGGUGAGUAAUGUCUGGGAAACUGCCUGAUGGAGGGGGAUAACUACUGGAAACGGUAGCUAAUACCGCAUAACGUCGCAAGACCAAAGAGGGGGACCUUCGGGCCUCUUGCCAUCGGAUGUGCCCAGAUGGGAUUAGCUAGUAGGUGGGGUAACGGCUCACCUAGGCGACGAUCCCCAGCUGGUCUGAGAGGAUGACCAGCCACACUGGAACUGAGACACGGUCCAG
rnacentral:rRNA from 1 species